rnacentral:rRNA from 1 species
UACGUAGGGUGCAGGCGUUAAUCGGAAUUACUGGUCGUAAAGCGUGCGCAGGCGGCUCCUUAAGUCAGAUGUGAAAGCCCCGGGCUUAACCUGGGAACUGCGUUUGAAACUGGGGAGCUAGAGUGUAGAAGAGGGGGGUGGAAUUCCAGGUGUAGCAGUGAAAUGCGUAGAGAUCUGGAGGAACACCGAUGGCGAAGGCAGCCCCCUGGGCUAACACUGACGCUCAUGCACGAAAGCGUGGGGAGCAAACAGG